GAAUACGCCCCCAAACCAGUGCGCGUAUACCACAUUGGACACGGUGAAUGGUUCACCGUGUCUAAUACAAAUACCUAGCUCUUAGCCAAAAGUGGCUAAGUUACAUGUAGUUCUAUUGGACACGGUGAAUGGUUCACCGUGUCUAAUACAAAUACCUAGCUCUUAGCCAAAAGUGGCUAAGUUACAUGUAGUUCUAUUGGACACGGUGAAUGGUUCACCGUGUCUAAACACAAUGAACCAUUCACCAUGUCCAAUACAACUACCAACCCUUCCCAGUACAAUACAACAUCAGAUCAAUCAACAAUACAACUUCACAACGAGGUCAGCACAACAGUACAAUACAACAUCACAACGCAACAACAAAUUAAUCCAAUAAUACAAAUAAUUCAACAUUAACAAUACAUACAUCAGUAUCAACAGAAUCUCAAUAAAGUAUCAAUACCAGAUAAAUCACAACAGAAUAUCAAAAAUUAAAGCAAGUUUUACAAUAUAUCGAAGAUACGACCAAUA
rnacentral:lncRNA from 1 species